GGACUCUGACCCAGCUCCUCCCUGAUGUCCACCUGUUGCAAUUUGCAAAAUCCCGAAACAGUUUGGGGGUGCAGAGGUCGCUUCCAUGAGAAGAAGGAAAUUAAAAUUUCCUCCCAGCAGGAGUGAUGGGAAGUCCAGGAUCAGAAGUUGAGGUGAGUUUUAGAAAAUUUAAUUAUUAUUUUUUGCACAGUUAUGUUUGUGGUUUGACAGACUACAAACUUACUGCUAAAAGAGUAAGUCUCCUGUAGAAUGUUGUUCCUGGAAUUGUGUGGCACAUGGCCCUAAUCAUCUGUUAAUGUAGGCCAAGUUUUUGCCUGUUGCAGUACAUUUCCUUGGACUUUCUCGAAAUGGUUGAAGAGGAGAAGUCAAUUGCCAUUAUCCUGUAGGAGGCCGAAGGACUGAUUUACUCUAAUCAAUUUGAAACCAUGUAAAUCAUGACAUCCGAUGAAUAGUACCUUCUGGUUUCUCGUUUAAGAUUUUUUUCAUUGCCUUCCAUAUUUAAUCUUUUUCGUGGUAAAUUUCAAGUAUACAUAUUAUUAACUAGAGUCAUUAUGCCGUAUCAUUUAAGAUUUAAAAGCAGUCUUCUAUAAUAGAACAAUGUGAAGAAAGAGACUCCUUCCCCUCCCCCCUCCCUUCACCCUCCCUCUUUCUUCUUUUGUCAACGGAUGAGGAUCAGUAGUAGCUCAGAAUCCAGAAGUCACUGUUAAUUGCUAAUUGUCACAAAGUUGGCUUCUGUUCAUCUUCUGCUUUCUAGAUGUUAGCUUGUCCUUGUUGUGGCAGCAGGGGGCUAUCAUGUUUGGAUAAUUUGCUCUUCUAUUGAUCUCCUCUGUUAAUUUCCAUGAUAGUUAGCAUUUACUCAAUAUUAAUAACCGUUCUAAAAGGACAGCACCUCAUACUUAAAAGUAUGUGAUGCCACUGUGUCACUGGAUUCCACUUUUAUCUCAAAAGAGUUAUUAAAUGCUGCUGGGUCAGCUUUGACAUGCUUAGUGAGGAAAAAAAGAACAGAGAAAAUAAACCUGCAUAAUGGGUCUGUGGUUAUUAAAAAAAAAAAAAGCAACAUGGUUGGGGGUCUCUCAGGAAUCACACAUUUAUUUACUCUGCCUCUCACUCUACCUUUCGGACUUGUCAAAUCUUUUUCAUUUUUUCAAUUACACAUCUACGAAUCCCAAGAAAAAUAACAAACCCUAAGCCUAGAAAUCUGCUAAAAUUCUCAAAAAAGAAACAAAGUGAAAAGAAGGUGGGACAGAAACUGAAAUGACUGUUUUCAGCUCACUAUUCUGUGAGCUUCUGUUUUGGGAAGGAUGGCAUGGUUUCAUAACAAUUUCGGGUCAGUAGUUCAUAUUGCUCUUCUAAAGCUCAUCCCUCAAUUGGUUAUUUGUUCAUUUACAGUUGUCCUCAAAGUUCCCUAUACAUCCAUAAAUGUCUAUUCAGCAAAAUUGGCAGAUAUAAAUUCCCAGUCAUUAAACGUGUUCAAAAACACAUUUUACGAACUAAUCAUGUAUUUCAGAUUAGCUCAUUUUUCCUGAUAAAAUAGAUGCUAGACAUGCACAUUUUAUGCCAUCAUCAUCUCCAUUGAUUCCUGACGGAAAUAGUAGGGAUCCAAUAGUGUGGAAUACAAUUAAAUAAAACAAUUUCAAAUGGAUGGAGGAGGGCAUUUUGUCCUAAUGCGAAUCACUUUAUUUUAGUGAAACCUAUUGCACACAUAUAUUUAUUAGCCAUUCACAUAUCCCCUAGGCACUAAUGUGCCAUGCAAAACAUAGUGAUGGGCUGAGAAGUAUCCCAUGCUAUUGUACUCAAAGGUAAUUAACACCUAAAUCCUGGAAACGAUGCACUGAGUAGGCAGUAAACCAGGUUAGAUAUGAGAGCUGACAACAUAAUCUACUGGGCAGCACGUCUGGGUGGGAACCAUGUUUAUAAACUCCAUUCCAGGCAGCCCUCUCCUGAAAGUCAACUCAGUUUCGCCAGCAUUCAACAUUGAGAGAAAUGCUUGGGAAGAGAGAAUAUUGGUGAAGGUUCCCAAGGCCUUAUUGUAUCGGACCUCCUCCAUGCCUCCACGUGGUUCUGAAAUGCAUUUGGGGAAUCUCCAGCCUUAAAACCUUUACAAUAUCUGAGAAUUUGGGUUUCCUCCAUAAGGUGAUGCAAAUUAGAGUCUAGAGUAAGUUAAUGCCAAUACAUCAAAUUUAUAUCAUGAUAUUUGGAUGUAUACAAUCUAUAUGACUGCCUGCCUACCUUUUGUAGAUCUCAAUAUUUGCAUUUGUUAAUUUUUGAUAGUUAAGUCUUAAGUCAGGAAUUUUGAGUUAAAUUUUGAGGUGAGAGGAAAAAUAGGAACUACUUAGCCAAGCACAAGCAGAGCCGAGUGUUCUCGAGGCUGACUGUAUAUUAACAUCACCUGAGAGAUUUUCAAAACUGCUGAAUCCUUGGCUCCCUUCCAAACCAAUUAAAUCAGACUUGCUUAAGAGGCUUGGGCGUCAGCAUUUUACAAAGUUAUUCAAAUGUUUCUGAUAUGUAGCUGAAGUUGAGACCCACUGGAAAAAGUCACCCAACAAGUGAGAAGGGGAGCUAUCUCUUGGCUAUGGAAGAGUCUGGGGAAUAGGACAAAAACUGCUUAAAGAGCAAUGCAGUUGCCCCAGGAGCAAUUCUGUGUAAAAGGAAAAGCUGGAGAGCCAGUUAGAACUUGAGGGAAUGAAGCAGGAGGCUUCUAAGAUUAACAGGUGGAGAAGGACUUGAUCUGGCAAGAGGCUGAGGCAAAGUUCCACCACUGUGAUGUCCAGAGGGUCGUCAUCUCAGACAUAUCCUAUUCUGUUGACUGUAAUCACCAAUCUGCAGAGGAAUCAACAAAUCCUGUAUUAAAGGAGCUUUGGAGGGAGUUCCUGUUGUGGCUCAGUGGAAACGAAUCCAACUAGCAUCUAUGAGGACGCAGGUUCCAUCCUUGGCCUCACUCAGUGGGUUAAAGAUCUGGCCUUGCAGUGAGCUGGGGCUCAGAUCACGGACAAGGCUUGGAUCUGGCAUUGCUGUGGCUGUGGUGUAGGCCAGUCCGAUUAGACCCUAGCCUGGGAAACUUUCUAUGCUGCAGGUGUGGUCCAAAAAAGACAAAAAAAAAAAAAAAAAAAAAAAAAAAAAAGGAGCUUUUGAGCUUUCCAAGCAUUGCUAUUCAGAUGUUAGCCCUGAGGAGAGGUAGGAGAGGAAAAAGGUACAUUCAAUGAGCCACUGUUUAUUAUCCUGUGGGAGAUAUAAAUAAAUACAGGACGUGGCCCCUGCCUCCUAUGAACAUACUUCUGAUGAAUUGGGAAGCUUCUCAUGUUCCUUAUUAUUGCACAUGUUCACUUUCAAGUCAUUUUCAUGCCCUUCUUCUUCAAUACAAUGUAAGAACUAUUUAAACACAGUCAGUGACUAGUUGCCAUGGAGUGGGUCAGAUGUUAAGUGCUGUGAUUUUAGACAAAGGAGAGCUCACUGUGGUCAGGGCUGCCCUGGGAGAAGCUUUCAGAGGGGGCUUAGACCUAAGCUGGGCUUGAUGGCUGACGUGGCUGUAGAUGAGUGACAGGAGGGUGAUCUUGGUCCUGGGGCUGCAGAUGCCUUUCUCUGGUGUCACUGUUGUCCUUUGGGAUAGUCAGAGACAGGUCUGGUUUGCUGACACUCGGGAGGCCUCAGCUGUUCCAGCAUCUCUUGAAGCGGGGACACCACAUGCGAGCCAGCUUCCACAAAAGGCUCUCCACAUGCCAUUCACAGGCUGUGUGCACCACACACACCUAUCACCAUCACUCCUAGCAGCCUUUACCAGGCCAAAGCAAUCGGCAUUUUAUCUCAAGGAGCACCAAAUCUGAGAAGGUAGUUGGAAAAAGAAUAAAUGAUUUAUUGAUAUUAUGAUAUAUGACAAAGUGACAUUUUAUGUUUCCAGACUUUGUAGGCCACCUGGUGGGCACUUAAAUUCAUUAAAAGCUAAUGUUCUGGCAGAGGUUAGCUGCUAUGAAUGAGACUGAUCAGGAAUGGGAUAAAUGAGAGGGAUCCAGUAUGGGGAGUAACUCGGGGGAGGGGGCACAGGGAGAGGCGGGAUGCCAAGAGGAAGGAGGGGCACUCAAAAGGCAGCGGGAGACAGCCAACAGAUGCUAUCUGUUGGCUCCAUGGUUUUCCUGAAGACUGUCUUUGUUAGGAUGGCCCUGGAGUCUCCCCAGAGCUGCCACUUACCAAGACUGGCUGUGCAUUGGCAUGGCCCACAGAACUACCCACACUCAGCAUCACUGAGAUGGAACCCAGCGAUGUCCAACGCCUAUGUAUUUAUUUAAAGUAUACCAGUGUUGUGGAAAGCUUUAUCCUUUGUUAUUUUUUGGUAUGCCUUCAGCAAUGUUUUAAAUUGAAGUCUGGUUGAUUUACAAUGUUUCAAGUAUACAGCAAAUUGAUUCAGUUUUAUACCUCCACCUAUCUGUCUAUUAUUUUUCAGUCUUUUCCAUUAUAGAUUAUUAGAACAUACUAUUUGAAUAUAUUGCCUGUGCUAUACAGUAGGCUUUUGUUGUUUAUUUUUUAUAUAUGGUAAUAGGUAUCCGUUAAUCCCAAUUCCCAAUUUAUUCCUCUUUGGUAGACGUAAAUUUGUCUUCUGUGAGUCUAUUUCUGUUUUGUAAAUAAGUUCAUAUGCAUCAUUUCUUUUUAGAUGCCACAUGUAAAGGAUAUAUGAUUUUUGCCUUUGACUUACUUCACUUCAUAUGAUAAUCUCUAGGUCCAUCCAGGUUGCUACAAAUGGCAUUAUCUCAUGAUUUUUUUAUGGCUGAGAAACGUACAACUUUUAAAGGCCACAGACAGCACUGAAGUGCAGGCACACGGUGUUGCAGAACAGACCUUGUAGGAAAGGCCUGGGAUGGGCUUUUGGAGGCCUACCCACCUGCAGGGUCAUCUUAGGCACCCUGGAGUCUACAGAGUAAAGAAUCCCAAGGUUCUAGACAGUGGCUAUCAAAAUCCAACGUGCAUAAGUAUAGCCUGUUAAGGGAAGGUAUCUGGGUGCCAGACCCUAGGUUUAUGAUUCAGUACAUCUUAGGUCCAGGCCAGAAACCUGCGUCUUUCACAGGCUCCCCAGAUGAUUCUGAUGCAGGUGGUUCAAGGACCACAGUCCGAGAAACACCAUGCUGGGGGUUGCCAGGGCAUGGGUCGUGAACCACCUUGCCACAGGCUGGGUGUCUGCUGACCGGUAGAGAAGCCAGGAGACCCGGCAGGCUGAGUCCUGGAGGAGGACUUCCUUUUUCCAUGUGGGCAGUGCAGAAUGAGCCCUGUUCCUGCCACACAGGACCUGGCCCCCUUGCUGGCAGGCAUUUCUCUUUUCCUCCUCCUCUUUGUAAAGAAGAAAAUAUGUUAGCCUCUCGAUGGAUCAGACUGAUGUUGGAGGGUUGUCGGCUGAGCAGAGGAGAUGGGUUAUGUCACAAACUCGUGGGGGUUUCUCUUGAGUUUUACUUGGUCAUGCUUUCAUUUAGGGUAAUUUGAGUUUCUUUCUAGAAAGAAUUUUUUUUAGUGUCAAGAUAGAUUUCUGGGUAGGCAAUGUUAUUGUUUUUAUUGAAUAUUUCUUUUAAUACCAAUAGUAAAGUGACUUGGGGGUAUAUAUAAAGAACAAAAAGCCAUUUAAAGAUAUCUUGAAAUCUUCAUGACAGGUAAGAAAGGUUUUUUUUCUUAUUUAAUGUCUUAUGUUGUGUAUAUGCAUUGAAUUACACAACUGUUAGGAGCCUCUGCAAAACCUCUAACAAAGAGAAAAUUAAAGCCCAGUAGAUGGCACUGUUUGCUACUUUUUACAAGUUAAUGCCACUGAUUCCCCUCACCCCCAAAUCUAUUUGUUUUUACAAUAAUAUAAAUCCAACCUCCAUUUUAAAAAAGCACUUCUUACGAGAAGCCCAAUCAUUAUGUCCUUUUCUGGACCUACACUGAGUAACUCUUGUCACAAUUUAUUAAAUAGAAAAGUACUUAAGGAUUAUUAAUCUUGUUUUGAGUGUAGAAUGCAUUUAACUUGCUCCUUUUCCCUCAGUGCUGCUGAGGCAGCUGUAUUUCUCCUCCCCCACCCGCCCCCAUACACUCCACAGAUGCUCCUUCUUUAAAAAAAUGUAGGUUAAAAAUCAAUUUCAAGCCAGAACUGCACUUGUGCAUAAAUGAAAUUAUGUUUGUAUUUGGAUUAUACCUGGCUGUUCGCUAACAUAAUUUUUUCCAAACAGUAGAAUACAUUUAUGAACAAACCCUUCACUGUGUCCUUUGACACAAGAAAGAGCUGAUGUGUGAUGCAUGUGGGCUGGUUGCUGAGAUCAGAAGGGGCACUGGUGUGGGCUUUGGGGUCCCAGUCCCAACUUUAUUCAUAGGACCCUGGGUCCAGUAUUGAACUUUUCUGAGCAUCAUCGUUGCCAUGUGUACACUUGUGAAAACAGUGUCUACUCCAUAGGGAUAUUAUGAAAAUAAAACUGGAUAAUGUAAACUUUCAGUGCAAUGCCUGAUCCGUAACUGGUACUCAACUAGUGGAAUCUGUUCUUUAGGUUGUUACAUCAAACUUUAUCUUCUAGAAUGGAGCCUGCCUGACACAAAACUUUCUUAAAAAAAAAAAAAAAAAA
rnacentral:lncRNA from 1 species